rnacentral:rRNA from 1 species
GUAGGGAAUAUUGGGCAAUGGUCGGAAGACUGACCCAGCCAUGCCGCGUGCAGGAAGACGGCCCUCUGGGUUGUAAACUGCUUUUAUCUGGGAAGAAAAAGGCCAUGCGUGGCAAAUUGCCGGUACCAGAUGAAUAAGCACCGGCUAACUCCGUGCCAGCAGCCGCGGUAAUACGGAGGGUGCGAGCGUUGUCCGGAUUUAUUGGGUUUAAAGGGUGCGUAGGCGGCUGAUUAAGUCAGCGGUGAAAGACUUCGGCUUAACCGGAGCAGUGCCGUUGAUACUGGUUGGCUUGAGUGUCGGAGGGGUACAUGGAAUUGAUGGUGUAGCGGUGAAAUGCAUAGAUACCAUCAGGAACACCGAUAGCGAAGGCAUUGUACUGGCCGACAACUGACGCUGAUGCACGAAAGUGUGGGGAUCGAACAGGAUUAGAAACCCGGGUAGUCC